rnacentral:rRNA from 1 species
UGGGUGAUCUGCCCUGCACUUUGGGAUAAGCCUGGGAAACUGGGUCUAAUACCGAAUACACCCUGCUGGUCGCAUGGCCUGGUGGGGGAAAGCUUUUGCGGUGUGGGAUGGGCCCGCGGCCUAUCAGCUUGUUGGUGGGGUGAUGGCCUACCAAGGCGACGACGGGUAGCCGGCCUGAGAGGGUGUCCGGCCACACUGGGACUGAGAUACGGCCCAGACUCCUACGGGAGCA